GACGAACGCUGGCGGCGUGCUUAACACAUGCAAGUCGAACGGAAAGGCCCUGCUUUUGUGGGGUGCUCGAGUGGCGAACGGGUGAGUAACACGUGAGUAACCUGCCCUUGACUUUGGGAUAACUUCAGGAAACUGGGGCUAAUACCGGAUAGGAGCUCCUGCUGCAUGGUGGGGGUUGGAAAGUUUCGGCGGUUGGGGAUGGACUCGCGGCUUAUCAGCUUGUUGGUGGGGUAGUGGCUUACCAAGGCUUUGACGGGUAGCCGGCCUGAGAGGGUGACCGGCCACAUUGGGACUAAGAGACGGCCCAGACGCCUACGGGAGGCAGCAGUGGGGAAUAUUGCAGAAUGGGCGGAAGCCUGAUGCAGCAACGCCGCGAGCGUGAUGACGGCCUUCGGGGUGUAAACCGCUUUCGCCGGUGACGAAGCGUGAGUGACGGUAAUGGGUAAAGAAGCACCGGCUAACUACGUG
rnacentral:rRNA from 1 species